GGGUUGUGAGGUUAAGCGACUAAGCGUACACGGUGGAUGCCCUGGCAGUCAGAGGCGAUGAAGGACGUGCUAAUCUGCGAAAAGCGUCGGUAAGGUGAUAUGAACCGUUACAGCCGGCGAUGUCCGAAUGGGGAAACCCAGUGCAAUUCGUUGCACUAUCGUUAACUGAAUACAUAGGUUAACGAGGCGAACCGGGGGAACUGAAACAUCUAAGUACCCCGAGGAAAAGAAAUCAACCGAGAUUCCCCCAGUAGCGGCGAGCGAACGGGGAGCAGCCCAGAGUCUGAAUCAGCUUGUGUGUUAGUGGAACGGUCUGGAAAGUCCGACGGUACAGGGUGAUAGUCCCGUACACCAAAAUGCACAGGCUGUGAACUCGAAGAGUAGGGCGGGACACGUGGUAUCCUGUCUGAAUAUGGGGGGACCAUCCUCCAAGGCUAAAUACUCCUGACUGACCGAUAGUGAACCAGUACCGUGAGGGAAAGGCGAAAAGAACCCCGGCGAGGGGAGUGAAAAAGAACCUGAAACCGUGUACGUACAAGCAGUGGGAGCACCUUCGGGUGUGACUGCGUACCUUUUGUAUAAUGGGUCAGCGACUUAUAUUCUGUAGCAAGGUUAACCGUAUAGGGGAGCCGCAGGGAAACCGAGUCUUAACUGGGCGUUAAGUUGCAGGGUAUAGACCCGAAACCCGGUGAUCUAGCCAUGGGCAGGUUGAAGGUUGGGUAACACUAACUGGAGGACCGAACCGACUAAUGUUGAAAAAUUAGCGGAUGACUUGUGGCUGGGGGUGAAAGGCCAAUCAAACCGGGAGAUAGCUGGUUCUCCCCGAAAGCUAUUUAGGUAGCGCCUCGUGAACUCAUCUUCGGGGGUAGAGCACUGUUUCGGCUAGGGGGUCAUCCCGACUUACCAACCCGAUGCAAACUACGAAUACCGAAGAAUGUUAUCACGGGAGACACACGGCGGGUGCUAACGUCCGUCGUGAAGAGGGAAACAACCCAGACCGCCAGCUAAGGUCCCAAAGUCAUGGUUAAGUGGGAAACGAUGUGGGAAGGCACAGACAGCCAGGAUGUUGGCUUAGAAGCAGCCAUCAUUUAAAGAAAGCGUAAUAGCUCACUGGUCGAGUCGGCCUGCGCGGAAGAUGUAACGGGGCUAAACCAUGCACCGAAGCUGCGGCAGCGACACUAUGUGUUGUUGGGUAGGGGAGCGUUCUGUAAGCCUGCGAAGGUGACCUGUGAGGGUUGCUGGAGGUAUCAGAAGUGCGAAUGCUGACAUAAGUAACGAUAAAGCGGGUGAAAAGCCCGCUCGCCGGAAGACCAAGGGUUCCUGUCCAACGUUAAUCGGGGCAGGGUGAGUCGACCCCUAAGGCGAGGCCGAAAGGCGUAGUCGAUGGGAAACAGGUUAAUAUUCCUGUACUUGGUGUUACUGCGAAGGGGGGACGGAGAAGGCUAUGUUAGCCGGGCGACGGUUGUCCCGGUUUAAGCAUGUAGGCUGGUUGUCCAGGCAAAUCCGGAUAAUCAAGGCUGAGGUGUGAUGACGAGGCACUACGGUGCUGAAGUAACAAAUGCCCUGCUUCCAGGAAAAGCCUCUAAGCAUCAGGUAACAUCAAAUCGUACCCCAAACCGACACAGGUGGUCAGGUAGAGAAUACCAAGGCGCUUGAGAGAACUCGGGUGAAGGAACUAGGCAAAAUGGUGCCGUAACUUCGGGAGAAGGCACGCUGGUGUGUAGGUGAAGUCCCUGCGGAUGGAGCUGAGACCAGUCGAAGAUACCAGCUGGCUGCAACUGUUUAUUAAAAACACAGCACUGUGCAAACACGAAAGUGGACGUAUACGGUGUGACGCCUGCCCGGUGCCGGAAGGUUAAUUGAUGGGGUUAUCCGUAAGGAGAAGCUCUUGAUCGAAGCCCCGGUAAACGGCGGCCGUAACUAUAACGGUCCUAAGGUAGCGAAAUUCCUUGUCGGGUAAGUUCCGACCUGCACGAAUGGCGUAAUGAUGGCCAGGCUGUCUCCACCCGAGACUCAGUGAAAUUGAACUCGCUGUGAAGAUGCAGUGUACCCGCGGCAAGACGGAAAGACCCCGUGAACCUUUACUAUAGCUUGACACUGAACAUUGAGCCUUGAUGUGUAGGAUAGGUGGGAGGCUUUGAAGCGUGGACGCCAGUCUGCGUGGAGCCAACCUUGAAAUACCACCCUUUAAUGUUUGAUGUUCUAACGUUGGCCCCUGACCGGGGUUGCGGACAGUGUCUGGUGGGUAGUUUGACUGGGGCGGUCUCCUCCCAAAGCGUAACGGAGGAGCACGAAGGUUAGCUAAUCCUGGUCGGACAUCAGGAGGUUAGUGCAAUGGCAUAAGCUAGCUUGACUGCGAGCGUGACGGCGCGAGCAGGUGCGAAAGCAGGUCAUAGUGAUCCGGUGGUUCUGAAUGGAAGGGCCAUCGCUCAACGGAUAAAAGGUACUCCGGGGAUAACAGGCUGAUACCGCCCAAGAGUUCAUAUCGACGGCGGUGUUUGGCACCUCGAUGUCGGCUCAUCACAUCCUGGGGCUGAAGUAGGUCCCAAGGGUAUGGCUGUUCGCCAUUUAAAGUGGUACGCGAGCUGGGUUUAGAACGUCGUGAGACAGUUCGGUCCCUAUCUGCCGUGGGCGCUGGAGAAUUGAGGGGGGCUGCUCCUAGUACGAGAGGACCGGAGUGGACGCAUCACUGGUGUUCGGGUUGUCAUGCCAAUGGCACUGCCCGGUAGCUAAAUGCGGAAGAGAUAAGUGCUGAAAGCAUCUAAGCACGAAACUUGCCCCGAGAUGAGUUCUCCCUGAGACUUUAAGUCUCCUGAAGGAACGUUGAAGACGACGACGUUGAUAGGCCGGGUGUGUAAGCGCAGCGAUGCGUUGAGCUAACCGGUACUAAUGAACCGUGAGGCUUAACCUUACAACGCCGAAG
rnacentral:rRNA from 1 species